rnacentral:rRNA from 1 species
AACGUAGGAGACAAACGUUUAUCCGGAGUUACUGGGCGUAAAGGGCGUGUAGGUGGUAAUGUAAGUCUGGCGUGAAAUUUUUUCGGCUUAACCGGGAAAGGUCGUCGGAGACUGCAUAACUAGAGGACGGUAGAGGCGUGUGGAAUUCCGGGUGUAGUGGUGAAAUUCGUAGAUAUUUCGGAAGAACACCAGUGGCGAAGGCGACUUACUGGACACAUAUUGACGCUGAGGUGCGAAAGCGUGGGGAGCAAACAGG